ACGAACGCUGGCGGCGUGCUUAACACAUGCAAGUCGAGCGGUAAGGCCCUUCGGGGUACACGAGCGGCGAACGGGUGAGUAACACGUGGGCAACCUGCCCUUCACUUCGGGAUAAGCCCGGGAAACUGGGUCUAAUACCGGAUACGAAUCGGGAAGGCAUCUUCCUGGUUGGAAAGUUCCGGCGGUGAAGGAUGGGCCCGCGGCCUAUCAGCUUGUUGGUGGGGUGAUGGCCUACCAAGGCGACGACGGGUAGCCGGCCUGAGAGGGCGACCGGCCACACUGGGACUGAGACACGGCCCAGACUCCUACGGGAGGCAGCAGUGGGGAAUAUUGCACAAUGGGCGAAAGCCUGAUGCAGCGACGCCGCGUGAGGGAUGACUGCCUUCGGGUUGUAAACCUCUUUCAGUAGGGACGAAGCGCAAGUGACGGUACCUACAGAAGAAGCACCGGCCAACUACGU
rnacentral:rRNA from 1 species